CCUACGGGAGGCAGCAGUGGGGAAUAUUGCACAAUGGGCGGAAGCCUGAUGCAGCAACGCCGCGUGCGGGAUGACGGCCUUCGGGUUGUAAACCGCUUUCGCCUGUGACGAAGCGUGAGUGACGGUAAUGGGUAAAGAAGCACCGGCUAACUACGUGCCAGCAGCCGCG
rnacentral:rRNA from 1 species